CCGGAGGCCGACCGGACCCCCCCCCUCGGAGGCCGACUGGACCCCCGGAGGCGUGGACCAGAGGCUGAGGCUGGAAGGACCAGGAUGGACCAGGAACCGAAGCUGGAGACCAGAGAAAUGCCACACGGGAUCGGACCAGAGGGAACCUCAGAUGCAGAAGGUGUGGGGUGUGGCAGCCACACCUGGGAUUCAUGGCUGACGGAGGAGUCGUGUUGGAGGAGGUCCUGCCUGGCGGUCCAUCGUGGGGCAGAUGGAGCCUGACUCGAACGCCAGGACUCUGUGGCGAGGAGGAGCUGGGACUCCUGAGGACAGCCAGGACUCCACCAACAAGGAUUCCUCGACAUGAGCUGGACCAGAGGACAGCUGGUGGGGAGCCGUAGAUCUGGAGGAAGACCAUGACUCUACCAGCAAGUAUUCCAUACCAGGACUCCGUGGCUGAGGACGAGCUGUGAGUCUGGAGGAAGACCAGGACUCUGUCUACAGGUAGUCCUAGUCAGUUUGC